GUUGCAGAGUUAAAAUGUGUGAGAUCACACCUUUUUCAAGGUGGCAGAAGUCUAUUAUUGUUGAGACAGCAGGAACAAUGGGCUAAACUUCUCAGAGCUACAUCUUGUCAAAGACACAUCCCAGCAUGAUUUUUGAAGUAAAAAGACACAUCCCAGGACAAUUUGAGAAAUGAUUUUCUCUUCAGAAGGAAGAAUUUAUCUGUCACAUAAACUGUAAAUGCACUGUAUUAACACAGAGAUCAUGAAGACAGAAGAACUUGAUGUUUAUCCAUGUUUCCCCAAUUAUAGCAUAUUUUUUGAGUUGAGAAACAAGAGACCAGUAUGAUUAUCUGGGCCUCAGAGAGAAUUGUGGCAGGAAAU